rnacentral:rRNA from 1 species
AUUGAACGCUGGCGGCAGGCCUAACACAUGCAAGUCGAACGAGUGGCGGACGGGUGAGUAAUGUCUGGGAAACUGCCCGCUGGAGGGGGAGAACUACUGGAAACGGUAGCUAAUACCGCAUACCAUCGGAUGUGCCCCGAUGGGAUUCGCUAGUAGGUGGGGUAACGGCUCACCUAGGCGACGAUCCCUAGCUGGUCUGAGGGGAUAACCAGCCACACUGGAACUGUGACACGGGCCAGACUCCUACGGUAGGCAGCAGUGGGGAAUAUUGCACAGUGGGCGCAAGCCUGAUGCAGCCAUGGCGCGUGUAGGAAUAAGGCCUUCGGGCUGUAGAGUACUUUCAGCGGGGAGGCGUUAUGCGCAGAAGAAGCACCGGCUAACUCCGUGCCAGCCGCCGCGGUAAUAC